CAGGACGAACGCUGGCGGCGUGCCUAAUACAUGCAAGUCGAACGGUCUUUCUAUGGAAGCUUGCUUCCACUGAGAAGAUAGUGGCGAACGGGUGAGUAACACGUGGGUAACCUGCCCAUAAGAGGGGGAUAACAUCCGGAAACGGGUGCUAAUACCGCAUAGUUUUCUUGAUCGCAUGAUCGGGAAAGGAAAGACGGCCUUUGUGCUGUCGCUUAUGGAUGGACCCGCGGCGUAUUAGUUAGUUGGUGAGGUAACGGCUCACCAAGACGAUGAUACGUAGCCGACCUGAGAGGGUGAUCGGCCACAUUGGGACUGAGACACGGCCCAAACUCCUACGGGAGGCAGCAGUAGGGAAUCUUCCGCAAUGGACGAAAGUCUGACGGAGCAACGCCGCGUGAGUGAAGAAAGGUUUUCGGAUCGUAAAACUCUGUUGUCAGAGAAGAACAAGUUGGAGAGUAACUGCUCCAGCCUUGACGGUAUCUGACCAGAAAGCCACGGCUAACUACGUGCCAGCAGCCGC
rnacentral:rRNA from 1 species